UUGUCCACUGGAGUUCUCCUCAAACCACUUCAGUAGAUAGCCAGCUAGGCCUUAUUGCAUUGCACUGCUAUGUAACUGUAGGCAUGGGGCCAAAAGCUAGCUGUGCAUAGUGAAGUGUUUGGGGGAACUCCGGAUGGCAA
rnacentral:pre_miRNA from 1 species